rnacentral:rRNA from 1 species
GACGAACGCUGGCGGCGUGCUUAACACAUGCAAGUCGAACGGAAAGGCCCUGCUUGCUGGGUCCUCGAGUGGCGAACGGGUGAGUAACUCGUGGGUGAUCUGCCCUGCACUUCUGCAUAAGCCUGGGAAACUGGGUCUAUUACCGGAUAGGAGCCAUUUUUAGUGUGAUGGUUGGAAAGUUUUUUCGGUGUAGGAUGAGCUCGCGGCCUAUCAGCUUGUUGGUGGGGUAAUGGCCUACCAAGGCGGCGACGGGUAGCCGGCCUGAGAGGGUGGACGGCCACAUUGGGACUGAGAUACGGCCCAGACUCCUACGGGAGGCAGCAGUGGGGAAUAUUGCACAAUGGGCGCAAGCCUGAUGCAGCGACGCCGCGUGGGGGAUGACGGCCUUCGGGUUGUAAACUCCUUUCGCUAGGGAAGAAGCUUUUUGUGACGGUACCUAGAUAAGAAGCACCGGCUAACUACGUG